GUCUACGGCCAUGCCACCUUGAACAUGCCCGAUCCUGUCUGAUCGUGGAAGCUAAGCAGGGUCAGGCCUGGUUAGUACUUGGAUGGGAGACCUCCGAGGAAGACUGGGCACUGAAGGCG
rnacentral:rRNA from 1 species